UUCAAAUACACAUCCUUCUAUGUCUCCUUUUCUAUCGAUCUCAAACCCCCCUGCGUCUCGACUCAGAGGUUAGAUCUCCAUGGCGUGUUGCUUCCACCAUUCUAAGAAUAAUCGUUGCAACAACUCCGUUAUGGAUGUCUAUGGGAUUAUAAGAAUCGAUCUGAUUGUUAUCGUCACAAACCCUCCUUCAUAAACAGAUUUGCCUCCUCUCUCUCUCUGUUUCUCCUGAAUUCCCGGGAAACUCGAGAUCAUACCUGCUCCGGAGCAUUGCUACUGUGAAUCAACACGGGAAAUAUACUCCGCUUGGAACGCCUCCAUUUGAUUGUGAAGGAUUCUUGUAGCACAACCGGUAACCAUUGACAACCGUACGAAUCUUAACUCUUAAUGAUUUCGCAGCUGAGGUCUUUGUGGAGGCUGGUUGACAAAGAAGCAGUGAAGCCCUCGACAAACAAAAGCAUAACCGCAGUUCAUGUAGUACCAAGGUAACUUGGAGCACCAAUGGAACCGAACACGCCAAUGACAAAACUAAGGAAGGCGGAAAAUGGGAAGAACUUAUGACACCCACAACAAAACACAUGUAAACAAUGACUUAGAAGUAUCAUAUCAUCUUCAUCUUGGUUGUUUUUGUUAGUUUGUGUUUUAGAACUCGCAAGUCAUAGAUCUUUACAUUUUUUAUUUUAUUUUUUCACAUGUAUUGUUCUAUCUAAGCACAUUUCCUCCAUAUAUUGUGAGUUCAUAGAAAUUUGUAAAUUUUUUUGGUAUGAUUUUCUUA